GCAGUCGGUUUCCGGUUUUCUCGCGCUUCAAAAAUGGGUGACUCACAACUCACAACAAAGAACCAACCCAGAGAGUGUGUGAAAAUUUCAAGUUAGGUUAAGUUGCAAUGUUUUUGUUUUUGGUUGAAAUUUUUGAGAAUUAUUUGUUUUGGGUUUGAAAUGCUACCCACUAAGGGCUACUUCAGGUCUGUAAGCUGCCCAUUUCAUCAUGAUCGGACUUGUAAAAGAUCUUAUUGCCACUUUCGCCAUUCUAGAAGAGAUGUUCAGAGACUCACUGAUUUAUCUCCUCUCACAAACGAUACAUCGGAACCACUCCCCUCCACCUCUACCUCAACUAAUACUGUUCAGGAUCAGGCCAGUACCUCGGAACUAGUCGCCUCUACCGAAUCUUAUAGCGUUCACGAUCAGGCUGGUUCAUCUGAACCAGUCUCCUCUACCGAAUCUAAUAGCGUUCAGGAUCAGGCCAGUACAUCUGAACCACUCCCCUCUACCGAAUCAAACAGCGUUCACGAUCAGGCCGAAGCUCAAGUCGAAAAAAUGCAAUCCAACAAUGAAAAACAAACAGACAAUAAUCCAAGUUCUUCAGUAGAAGCGACCGACAAGCCAAUCAGUGCUCCGGCUGCACCUCCAGUUUAUAAACCUACUCCAAUUUAUGAACUACACAAAAAUAAACGAGAACCACAUAUUCCUGUCACCUUCAACCCCGAUUCUGAGAAGAUUAGAAGGAAGACUCAUGUUCGUAAAAAGCCUAAGCUUGAGUAUGUUCCAAAAUCAACAGGCGGCAAAGUUCCUACCGGAGACUAUACGCCCACCCCCUCAACCUCUGCGGCAUCAAAAUCUGCCAAUUUUUAUAGGUCAAGCAAGGAUCCUGCCAAGCACACCUUCGUUGAAAGUAUGGAAGUAGAUCAAAGUCCAGAUAUUUUACCUCCUUCUUCAGACAUUCCUUUAUCUGAUUCCUCAUUCGAUAUCACGGCAACACAGGAGGAAAAGAUGGAAUUGAUUGUGAAAAAUCCGCGUAUGAUGCCUAAGGAAUUAGGGAUCACUCAAUCAUCAACGAGCACUUUUAAAUCUUCAACGAUCACUUCUAAUUCAUCAACGCAAGAAGUCGAUUAUGAAGUGAAUGAGGAAUCUCAGGAAAACCACAGUAAGAUUUACGAUGACGACGAUGAAAUUGACAAUCUCGACGCAUUUAUAGCUAAGGAGAUUGAUCUACUAGGUCAAAUACUAGAAGCUGAUGGAAUUACUACAUCUGUAAUAGAAGAAACUGACAGUAACAGAGCUGAAGAAUUCAGUGACGAUGAUGAUGCUGAAGGUAUGCAAGCUGAAGCACAAAGUAGUGAAUUGGGUGAUGAAAAGGAUGAAAACGAAGUCAUGCCUGAAACUUUUAAGACUGAUAGUUUAGAAAAUAGUAUUAAUAACACAAAAAUUGUCCGAGAAUCAGAAAUGAGUCUGGCUAAAUGUGAUGAGAGGAAUCUGGAGAAAACAGAAUCGAAAAGUAAGACAACUGAUGACAAUAAGUCGAAAAGGUCCGAACAUAGUUCCUCGAAGCAUAGAACCUCUGACAAGUCACACAAACAUCAUAGUUCUUCUCAUAGAAGCAGUUCAAGCAAAAGUUCUGAAAGAUCUCAUAAAUCCUCAUCAGACAAACAUAGUAGUCAUAGAAGCAGCUCUCACAAAGAUGACAAAUCUGAUAAAGAAUCAAGAAGAGAACAAUCAAACAAAGAAUCUGAUAAACAUACGAAACAUGACAAAUCAAACAAACAUCACAAAUCAGAUGAACAUUCUAGAAAACAUGAAUCAGCCAAAGAUGAAAAGUCGGAUAAACAUUCAAAAAUUGACAAAUCUGAUAAACAUUCCAGAAAAGAGGUAUCAACCAAAGAUGAUAAACAUGCAAAAACUGAUAAACAUUCUGUACAACAGGAAUCAAAUAAGGAUGAAGUGUCAAAGAAUGACAAAUCUGAUAAACAUCCUAGAAAAGAGGAUUCAACCAAAGAUCAAAAAUCGCAUAAACAUUCGAAGAAUGACAAAUCUGAUAAAAGUUCUGUAAAAGAUGAAUCAACCAAAUAUGAAAAGUCACAUAAACAUUCAAGACAUGAUAAAUCCAGCAAACAUGACAAAUCGGAUAAGCAUUCAACUAAUGACAAAUCUGAUAAACAUUCAACGAAUGACAAAUCGGAUAAACAUUCAACGAAUGAAAAAUCUGAUAAACAUUCAAUGAAUGACAAAUCGGAUAAACAUUCAACGAAUGAAAAAUCUGAUAAACAUUCUAGAAAAGAUGAGGAAUCAAACAAACAUUCAAAAAAUGAUAAAUCCAGCAAAGAUGAAAAGACUCACAGACACACGAAGAAAGAUGAUUCUCAAGUUUCGCGGGAAAAAUCUGAUAAGGUAGACUCUAGCAAAGAAAGCAAUUCUGAAAAACGUCCUCGAAGUGAUUCAAAGGAUGAAUCACAUAAGAAACAUGGAAAACAUUCGCACAAUGAUAAGAUAAGUGAGUCCAGCAGAAAGCACAGUAAAAGAAGUGAAAACCAUAAGUGUAUUAAUAACAAUAACAACGAUGAAAAAGGUGUUGAAAAUCAAGAAGCCAGUAUUAAAAGAAAAAGACGUUCAUCCGACGGACAUCAUUCGUCUAGUCACCACAAAAAGUCCAAACGUGAUGUGCAUGAAUCAAAAUCUCGAAUUUCACAAGACAGCCACAUGGAUUCUGACCACAGCUCUGACAUCGAAGAAGUUAUCGUACCUGUUGAGACAAUAUCAUUAGACUCCUCCAGUGAAUCUGAUCCUGAUAUGGAUUCCGGACAGGAACCUGAAAUUCCAACUGUCAAAACUAAAGUGCGAACCGCACACUCCGCUGGUACUGCUAAUGGCGCAACGUAUGCAUCAGUGCGUUCAGGUGCAGUCAGUCGCUCGCGUCAUCCUAAGCCGCCAACGCCAUCGCAGACGUUGCUGGACCGCUUUCAUAAAACUUCCAUUUCACCUGGACCAGCCCCGGUGCCUUUGUCUGAGCAAGCAGCUGGACCAAAAGUGCGUAUCGCACAUGUACCUAACGUAGCACUUUUGCUAAAUAGCAAGAAAGAAAUAAUAAGUGGACUGGCGUCUCGAAGUACCGGUCCAUCAACUAACAAUCAACCUGCUGCAUCUACAACCUACGCCAGUGCCUUGAAAAAAAAUCUGGAUUUGUUGGAAACCCCGGUGAUUGCUUACUUACCUAGUUGCUCGGUUUCCGUUGCUUUACGGCAGAACUAUAUAAAGAAGAUCCACGAAGAAUUCUUAAAACGAUUCUCUCCUGUCGAAGCAAAAGAGAAGACUGUAGCGGCAGAAAGCAAAAUCGCCGAAUCUUGCAAGACUGCUUGUGUGUACCGUAAUAGAGUCGCAAAUUUGAUGAUGAAAAUAAAAAAUGUUUCAACACAAAUGCCUCUUGACUUGGACGAGGACCCACUGAAUCCAAGUUACACAUACGGAGUGCCUUUGUACGACUGUUUCGUGAAAUAUACAAUGACUGACCUCUACAACGCCGGUAUUCCGGUCGAAAUCCCCGAUGAUCCUGGAUGCGCACGGAUGAAGGUCUUAUAUAGAGAGAACCGUCGCAGCUUCAAUAAGGAAAGAAGUAUUUGUCUAAACUGCGGAAAGCCUUUUUCUGUCGAUGAAAAUAAUUUCAGCAUCGAAAGAGAAUGUCGCUAUCACUUGGAUAAUAAGCAGCGUUUCAGAAAAGUUGGUGGCUUCAGGGAACCUUUUUGGGGUUGUUGUAAUCAAAAUGAUCCCUGUGUAACUUCCGAGUUUCACAUCCGGGACGUUGUCAACUACGAGAGGAUGACAGGCUUUGUAAAAAUGCCGUUCUGUGAGGAUCCCGAAGCGUUCCCCGGAAUAUAUGCCUUGGAUUGUGAGAUGUGCUACACCACAGAAGACUGUGAGUUAACCCGCGUUACCGUUGUCAACCACGAAAGAGAGACUGUCUAUGACGAAUUGUGCAAACCGUUGGCACCUAUAAUUGACUAUUGCACACGUUUUUCCGGCGUGACAGAAGAAGACCUCCAAGGUGUUACAAAAACCUUAGAGGAUGUACAAGAAGAUCUCAUGCGCAUUUUCAACGAUAGGACUAUCCUCGUAGGCCAUGGGAUCGGCAACGAUCUGAAAGCGUUGAAAAUUAUACAUACAAACAUAGUGGACACGAGUAUUGUUUUCCCCCAUGAGAGAUCCGAUGAAUUUAAAAAGAAGCUGCGUGACCUCGCGCGUGAGUUCCUCAAAAGAACGAUCCAAGAUGGUGAUUCCGGGCACUGCUCUGCUGAAGACGCUCUUGCGGCUCUAGAUCUUAUGAUCUAUAAAAUAAAAGAAGACUGUAAGGUUUACAAGCCUAGGACUAUGCACUACGGAAGGAUGGACCCCCACUACCCCAAUCAACCCCAGACUAAUCAAAGUCCGCCGAUUCAAUUUCCGACGCAUCAAUUUGGGACAAAUCAAAUUGGGCCGAUUCAAUUUCCCACACAUCAAUUUGGGACAAAUCAAAUUGGGCCAAUUCAAUUUCCGACGCAUCAAUUUGGGACAAAUCAAAUUGGGACGAUUCAAUUCCCCUGGAAUCAUUUUCAUCCGACUCAAUUUCAUGGGAACCAAUUUCUCCCGAUGCAAAUGUAUCCAACUCAGUUUCACCCGAUUCAAUUCUACCAGAAUCCGAUGCCGUCCCAUCCAUCCACUCAGUUCCACCCAGCUUAUCACCACCAGAACUGAUUCAUGCCGAGACUUUUGUGGAAUAUUCAGUUGAUUUGAGGAUUGCAAUCUAGAUGGAAGAACAUCAUAAGUCUUGAUACGUUCAAAAAAUGAGACACGGCACUAGAGAGGAUAGACUUCAUUUGUUUUUACGGAUUUCAUGUACUACAUAAUUAAUAUUUGUCUACUUUUAUGACUGAUUUUUUUAUUUGAUUUCAUAAAUCUUUUUCGAUUAAUUAAAAAAAUGAUAAAAUAUAUAUAAAUAAAAAUACAUUUGUGACUUUUAA